AUACGGAGGGGGCUAGCGUUGUACGGAAUUACUGGGCGUAAAGGGCGCGUAGGCGGACCAUCAAGUCAGAGGUGAAAGCCCUGGGCUCAACCUGGGAACUGCCUUUGAAACUAGUGGCCUUGAGUCCGAGAGAGGAUGGCGGAAUUCCCAGUGUAGAGGUGAAAUUCGUAGAUAUUGGGAAGAACACCAGUGGCGAAGGCGGCCAUCUGGCUCGGUACUGACGCUGAGGCGCGAUAGCGUGGGGAGCAAACAGGAGUAGAAACCCCGGUAGUCC
rnacentral:rRNA from 1 species